GGCAGACUAAAACCACAACGUCCUGUUGCAACGUCUGCACUUGUACGUCCUGUA
rnacentral:sRNA from 1 species